AUGCGCAUCGUGAUUAACCCUUCAGCGACAACUUCAGAGGGGCUCUCACAGAUUUCAACAGUCAUUAACAGUUUGGGAUUUAAAGACAACAUUCAACGGGCGUCCGCCCAAGAGCCACGCCAGGAGACCACAGGGUCACCCAGAAAACAUCGUUACCAGACAGUGUUAGAACAACAGUUGUACAAUCCAGCACUGUCAGGAACCUUUCCCGCCGUUGUCUUUGUGUUUGCCGAGUGAUGAAAGGCUGAAGGAAUGCUGCUCGGCUCGACCUGAGGCUACGCGCUGUAUGCAGAAGGUCACUGAAACAGCCCUCGCUUUCUGAAUAGCGUGGAUCAUUCACAGGUACACCGCGUGAAAUCCUCACACCCCAAACUGACGGUUCAACGUACAUUAUUAUUCUCUGACUUUAACAUUAAUCAAUUAUGUUAUCCACUCAUCCAUCCAGUUAUCUCAAGUAGUCAUUAAUCUGAAUAUUAUACUGUAUGUUUAGUCACUUUAGCUAUAUAAUAUAUUUUAUUAAAUAACAUGUACGUUAUUAAUGUUAGUUUAUUAGAGUUCCCCUUUUCUUUCAACAAAGACUUGAUUAAGUGUAAUUAUUUUGGUCCCCCAAAACUUGGCCCACCUACAAAAAAAUUCCAUCAACAAAUGGGACAAAUUUCUCUCAGAACAUAAAACCCCCAAAUGAAAAGUUGAGAACUCAAUGUGUUUGGUAAGAAAGAACAGGUUCCCAGUCAUCCUGCAAGCAAUGCAAUAGUGGAGCACAAGAGCGAGGGGGAGGGAGAAGGAGAGAGAAAGAAAGGAGAUCAUAAGGGAGGGAAAAGUUCAGGGGAAGAAGGUGGAGAAGGAAAAUGGAGAGUGCACCUGUAACCUUACCGUCAUGAAAGGUACCCCAAGGAAAGAAUGUAACAAAACCAAAGUAAAGUGAGUAUAUUUGGAGGGAGGGGGCCGAGAAAGAAAGAGAGAAAAAAAGAAGAAAAAAAAAAGAUCUUGAAUUUCCAGCCCGCUGCCUGAGAAUGCUCCCGUCUUCCUCCCGGUCGGUCAGGCCCCAUGAAAUGAGAAAGCCGAGCAGACCUGCUCUCCCAGACUCUAUUUAGUUAAUCAUCAGCAUUAUAAACCAGUGCUGCGGGCCCUCUGAGGAAGAAAAGAGGGAGAGAGAGAGAGAGAGAAAAGGGGGGGGGGGAGAAAGAGUGAAAAAAAGAUUAGCCCCGAAAAUUCUAGCAGGUGGAAAGGAGCUGUGAAAAUAACAGUACCUGAUGGAAGUAGAACACGACCCGCGUGUUACCUUUCGAAAUGUGUGACCCACCCCAGCGUCCGACAAGCUUCCUCUCAAUUAGUCCCCCGUUUGUUUCGAAUACAGAUCUUCUUCUGCUCUUAGUCAAGGUUAUGUACUUCAGAGUUGUUGCCCUGCAUUUGCAUGGGACUCUCAGCCACUUAUGGCUGCCCCGUGCUUCUCCGCCUGUUCAAAGUGAGGCGUGCUCAGGUAACUCUGCCCUCCGCGCUGGAAUGUGACUCCUCUGUGAAGUGAACAACCCGAUAGGCAAACUGGCCUGGCCCUUAAUCAAUAGUUGCUGUCUUUGUGAGAAAAACAAUGGAAAGGGAAACCCAAAACCUUAUUUAACUACGGACGAUAUCUCGAGCGCCACCUUGGCCGGGCCCUCAGACGACUGAGGAGCAGCCUGGGAGCUGAAAUAUUUAGGCCACGAUACUGCUUAUCAUCAUGUCCCGCUCUAGCUUUUUUCUUCUUCUGAAUGUGAACUAUAGUUCGAAUUAAAUUGUCAUUUUAGAGGUCGGCGCUCCUUCUCCCAACUCCCUGUUGCCUCAUCUCUGUGUCUCGAAUAGUUUAAAUGAAGGACUAAAAUAUUUAGUAGUUUUAAUUUUUUUAAAUUUAGGAUUUGGACUUUUCCUUUCCUGCUCAAUAUUUUCUCUACAAUCCUAAACUUAGCUAUUUAGCCUAUCCACAUCUUUUUUGGCAGGUUCCUUCUACCUUUCUGUUUUAAAUAUUACAAACAGUGGAAUAAAAAAUAUUAAAAGUGUUUUUUAUUUAUUUUAAUUAUUCAUACUACUCCCUGGUGGCUCAAAAUGUAACAUCUGUCAAAGUUGAUCAAAUGUGAAUUAAUCCCUUUAGGAAUAAUCUUUUUAGAUUUUAAGCUGUAAGAAGAAAACAUCUUUAAUCAUAUUUUCCUCAUUAUGAAGAUUCAUUGAUAAAAAACUUAAAUAAAAGCAAAGGGCUUUCUUCAGACAUUAGCAUGUAGCAUUAACUCUUAGCAAUGGCCCUGGUCCAUAAUGCACUGUCAUUCCCCCUAUCAGCUGAAUCAAACUGCAGCUUUAACUUAACCUCUCACCCCACGUGGUGAUAAGAGCAACAGUUCCCUUUCAUUUCAAGCCAGCGACUGGAACAGGAACAAACAACAUUAAAUCGGUCCACCAUUUCGUCCGGCCUUCCACUCAUAUAAAACCCGUGUUCGGCCGAAAUUCUGCUCUGCACUUCCCGCCCCGCUUGCCGUACGCUGGCGGAGCGACUGCCGCUCAUGUGACUUGCAGCUAUUCAGGUUUAUGAAAGAAAUGUUUCUGUUUCCACCAAUCACAAUCUUCCACCUCGCCCUGCAGCCGCAGCUGUACGGUGUGUGGUCGACAUUUUUCCCUCCAUUUUCCUUUCUUCUUCCCCGACUGCGACGGACCUCAUCGGCUUAAAACUAUCUUGUGCCGAGAAAAACUCGACAAUCUAUACCCUCUCCCAUCUAAUGGAAACUCUCUGCUCCAAUAAGUCCAACACUGCCGUCCGUCUCGAGUUGCAGCGAACGCUCGGUGGCAGGGGACACCGAUGAGCAGACAUUUUCUGUUCCGCUCUGUGACUGGCUUCUUUUUUUUUCACUCUCUAAAAGUGCACAAACCGGGCAUUGUUCAGUCAAAUCUCUGAGUCUAACCGCCAAAAGAGAAAAGCAGUUACAGGUUGUGAGAGGAAAUAAAAACCAGAGAAUAUGUGUUAUAGAUAACCAGGGCUUUACAAUUCAACAGGUUGUAAAGAAAAAGAGUUUAGAACUCUUUAAAAAAUCACGUAACAAUAAUACUAAUGCCGUAUCGCUUUCAGGUUAUUAAUUUAAAGCUGUUUCAUACCGUAAUUUAGUUGAUGCGUCCUUGUACUGUAAAGAAUAUUCUAACGCCCUAAAAGAAGGACUCUGCCUCUGUCUUCAAAUCCUUUGACAAGUCUGGCAGUUUGCCUUUACCUGCCCCAACUGGUCGAUCCAGUUUAGGAAUGAGCGUUGGCUCCUAUUGUUUCCUCUUCUUUCUCUCCGGUUAAAUGGAACUGGAAUUCGAUACACACUAUUUUCGCUUCCCAUCGAAACUACCUAUAGUCUCCCAGAGCGGCGCACAAUCGCGCAGGGCUUCGUACAACGAUUCUAAUUUGUUUGCCGCACGUUUCCUGAUCUUAGCCGAUGGAACAAAUGUCCUCAAAGAUUGAACUAUGCCACCGCUGAGCAACAGGUUAUGGCGACAGCUCGCGCCUCAAAGAUGGAGAACGGAGACAAAGAAGGGAUCACAUUUGUGAAUUUACCCCGUCCUUCCCAGGUGUGGUCGCCGAGCCAUAAACCCAAGACAAGAGGCAUCAUUGUAUGAGGGCUCUUGACGCCCCGUUGGCUAGUCUUCCUCUUUCCCGCUCCCGCUGAAGGACGGUCGACCUCUGGAGUGGCGGUUGGAAGGGGAAAAGCCGUCCCUUUCAGGUAGAUGCAGCCGUGGACAAACCCCCGGAACAAAACCAACCAGUUUGAAGCGCGUCAGCUAUCUUCCUGCUGCCCAAGCAGAACUUGUUUUUUUCCAGGUGCUCUCAUCGGCGCUGUUAGGCGGAUAAGCUCCUCGAGUAGACAGAGGCUGAAUUUGUAAAGGGCUUGGUUUACAUGUAGCCUGACCCCCCCCCUCCCAUUUUUUCCCCCACAGGUGUAAUUUUCAGGUCGCAGCCAAUGUCCUUAGCCUCUGGCGCUCACAGGUGUGUCCCCCGC
rnacentral:lncRNA from 1 species